GAACAGAUCAUUCAGUGUGUUGCUACUGUACAGAAAUUUGCUUUUCCUUCCCUUUUUUUAGUUUAAUUUAAACAAAAAUUCGUUAUAGUUUUUUUUCCGUUCGAAUUCGCUUUUUUCCAAAAUAAUUUUAAGUUCAUACAUUUUUUUUACUCAAGUUUCAACAAUUUUUAAUUCUUUUCGCGCUGCCGUUGCUUAUGAAUGCGCGCUGAUCGACUCCAACACUUGCUAAAUGAGUGAGCAUACGUCGAGGGAAACAGCAAAAUGCGCAAAAUUCAAAAAAUCUACUAAGUGACAGUAAGUGUGCCGAGUUAAGGGAGUCAAUUCAAAGUCUAUGUGAACGAAAGAACGAACAAUCGAACACAAGUGACCGAGAGAAAGAGAGUGAAAGAGUCAAACGAGAGGUAGCACAGCAACCACAUACAACCAAUUUAUGUCAUUCGAUUUCGCUAGUUUUCCGCAACAAUUAUAUUUAUUGAAUGGUUCGAAGUUAACGUUCAACCACAAAUUUGAAACAAACAUACCGACGCACGAGUGUGAACAGUCAAAAUUAACAACGUUUUUAAAUCGAACGAGAAACGAACGCGCCAAGCAGAAGAGAAAAAUUCAACAAUUGUAUGCGAUCGAGGAAAAAUUUAAUUUCGAUAAACAAAAAAUAUGAAAAUUCAAUAUGAAUUAUCGGCCAUCGUUUAUAAGUUACUUUUAUCACUUUUACUUUUAACGAAUGUGAAUGGAUUACCGUUUUUAUUCGGCACCACACAUGGAAAUCGUGAUCAUAUGGUUGAAUAUCAAACACCAGACGAUAAUUGGAAUAUAACAAGCGUUCCACGCAGCAUAACACCACACAUAAACCAUAUUAAUUUCACACAAAACCAUGUCAUACCACCACGAAAAUCAGAACAACAACUUGAAGACGAAAUUCUUCAUCGGCUGCAUGAAAUUAAGUCGCAGGAUAGAAAUGACACUCAUACCGGUCGAAUGUUGUGGUUCGAUACAACCGAUCUGAUGCAUUAUCCACCAUUUGUUGACAAGACAUUAAAGCUGUUUAAUUUGAAGCAAGUUGCACAUGAGCUUGAAACGAGUGUUAUGUCGAAAGUGUCAUGUACUGCAUGCAAAGCAGGUGCUGGACUAUUAAUGCACUAUAUCAAAACGGGCAAAAGUAAUGAAGAGAUUAUUAAAAUGAUUUAUCAAUUUUGUGUGAAUUUAAAAAUUCAAACACCACGAGUAUGUGAAGGUGUGAGUCAUUUAUUUGGUACCGAAGUGAUAUAUGUUUUGAAGCGUGUCACAAUUGGUCCGGACGAGAUAUGCAGUUUUGUUAUCGGUGAUGCAUGUGGCGAUGUAUACAAUCCGUUGCAUGAUUGGGAUGUUACAUUUCCGCCGGUGCCAAAGCCAGAAAUUCAUGAUAUACCAUUGCCAAAAGAAGGAUUUCCAACAUUUAAAGUGCUUCAUUUAUCUGAUACACAUUAUGAUCCAUACUAUACGGAAGGUACAAAUGCCGAUUGUAAUGAGCCACUGUGCUGCCGUUUAACCCAUGGACGACCGAAUACACCGCACAAUGCAGCCGGAAAAUGGGGUGAUUAUCGUAAAUGCGAUACACCAAAACGUACAAUUGAUCAUCUGUUGGAUCACAUCGCUGAAACACAUACGGACAUUGAUUACAUUAUUUGGACAGGUGAUUUGGUGCCGCACGACGUUUGGAAUCAAACAAAAGAGGAAAAUCUUAAAAUCAUCAAAGACACCGUUAAACAAAUGUCGGAAAAAUUUCCCGGCGUUCCAAUAUUUCCAGCUCUUGGUAAUCAUGAAAGUGCACCAGUCAAUAGUUUUCCACCGCCAUUUGUGCAACAGCAAGAUAUAUCGAUUUCAUGGUUGUACGAUGAAUUGGACGCAUUGUGGCGUCGAUGGUUGCCGGCCAGUGUGUCACAUACAAUUCGACGUGGUGCAUUUUAUUCGGUUCUUGUACGUCCCGGUUUUCGUAUCAUUUCGUUGAAUAUGAACUAUUGUAACAACAAAAAUUGGUGGCUACUUUUGAAUUCAACCGAUCCGGCCACUGAACUGCAAUGGUUUAUUUAUGAAUUACAAAGUGCCGAAUUUUCAAAUGAAAAAGUUCAUAUCGUUGGACAUAUUCCACCCGGUCAUCCGGAUUGUUUAAAAGUAUGGUCACGUAAUUACUACAAUAUUAUUGCACGAUACGAAAGCACGAUCACCGCUCAAUUCUUUGGACACACACAUUUCGAUGAAUUUGAAGUGUUUUAUGAUCCAAAAGAUUUAAGUCGUGCCACAAAUGUAGCUUAUAUUGGUCCAUCCGUAACGCCAUAUGAUAAUCUUAAUCCGGGUUAUCGAAUUUACUAUGUUGAUGGUGAUCAUGAUGCAACCACACGGUUGGUUAUCGAUCAUGAAAAUUGGAUUAUGAAUUUGAAAGAAGCCAAUUUAUAUGACUAUCCCAUUUGGUAUAAAUUGUAUUCAACACGAUACGCAUAUUCAAUGCGUGGCUUACGACCAUCCGAUUGGGAUGAAUUAAUCAAUACAAUGACUAAUAACGAUGAAAUAUUCGAUUUGUAUUACAAGCAUUAUUGGAAAAAUUCGCCGUUACGACCACAGUGUUUAUAUGAAUGUAAGAAGCAUAUUUUGUGUCAGGCCAAAAGUGGACGCAGUCACGAUCGAAAGCAUUUUUGUGAAGGUGUCGAAUCAAAGAUUGACGAAGGCAAUUCAAAAAGCUGGGGAGCCUGGUUCUAUCGUGGACUUAGUGUUUCAUCAACCGAAGAACCAAUGAAAAACGUCGAUGAAAAUUCUGAAAUGAUUUCGACUAAUGAAGUAACAAUAACAGGUAAACAUACAGAAUCGCAAGACAUCAAUGAAGAAUAUAUGGAAGAAGUGGCCAAAUUGACGACCACGUUUGAGUCAUCAACGACGGAACAAGUUGUACAAACCAUUACCAGCACAACUGAAACAACCAGCUCGAGCGAAAAUUCAUCAAAGAUGAUCAGUGUUAUUUGUAUGUGGUGUUAAGUCUAUCUAUAACUAUAUCUAUUGAAAUAAUUUCUAAACAAAAACAUCUAUAGUAGUGUAUAGUUCAUCUAACUAUCUAAUUUUGACUUUCUCAAAUUGACCUUUGGUUGAUGGCCUUUUUUCGAAUCUGGAUAUUUGCUUUUUAUCCAAUGUAAAUAAAUUCUAAACCGAAAUUAACAAGUGAACAACUAAUGAAUGUUAUCAUGUCAAUUACGAAGCUACCCAAAUACGUCAUGGGAUUCGGUUAGUUCAUCAAUCGAUUCAUGCAGCAGCACAACCAGUGGCCAGUAGUUAACAGCACCCCCAAUCACAAAAACAGCCGAUACAUCCGUGCAAUUGCAAACCAACAUCUACGGAAACAUGAAAAACAACAACACUAAUUUAUUUAUUUAUUCAAAAUGAAACGUAAAUCAUUUGUAUACAUUGUGAACCGAGACAACAUUUCAAAUUCCGAUACAAAACAAAACAAAAUGAUGAACAUCAAAUUAUAAAUUAUCGUACAUAAUUUAUAGCAUUUUUAUGACUUUAGUACUCAACCAACAAAAAUUCACUUCUCUCGUUUUGUUACUUAAUUUAUUUAAUGAAAAUAAACGAAGGCCUUGUGAUAAAAAAAUUUAAAUAAAGAAAAAGAAGAAGGAGAAGUAGGAAAAACGAGAUAAAAAGUAAAC